UUGAGAGGCAUUAGAGCUCUUCAUGCACUGUCUUAGGAUCUCAUUAUUGAUUAAAUAGUGAUUAAGACAUGGCUCCUAGUCUUAAGACAUGGUUCACAAUUCUUGAAUUAAAAUGAAGAAAUGUUUUUUGUGUGCUGCAGGUAUGUUUCAUGCAGUUGUCUUGUGGGACUUUGAGAGAUGCUGCAGCCUGUGACAUGUGGGAAUUAUCAUGAUCAACUACUCAGUUUGGAUUUCACCCAGUGGCCAAGAGCUUUGCGUAGUAAACAGCAAGGGUUGGAUUUUUAAAAAGAGUGAACCAGCAUUUUUUAACGUAAAGGUUUGCCUAGCUCAGGAUUAUAUUACUAUAUGCUCAUACAUAGAGGCCACUUUAAGCUAUCAAGGAUAUCAAAGGUGAGUUUUUCCCAAGCAUCCUGAUGAUAACUUGCCUCGUGUAGUGGGAUAUAUGUUCUUUAAAAUAAUUCAUGAAAAAUAUUUCAGUUGUACCUAUGUAUGUGAUAU
rnacentral:lncRNA from 1 species